AUUAUCUUUCACCAGAGCCAGGCUGGCUACACCACAAAGAGUUAAAGCUUUCUCUCUGCACACAGAGAAGUAAUACCAGAGCAAGCGAAGCUCUAAUUGCUUCUCUAGAACCGACAGGGGGAUCGGUAGAUGCAAUGACCUAAUAGUUUUUUUCCACAGCUAUUGUUCUGAUCGCAUGAGAGCUAUUCGUAGUCCUUGCAAUACAAAUUUUCCAAACCAUGGCAAUUGUCAUGAUAUAGGCUGAACUAACCUUUAAGCCAUUUUGUUCCUUAGAUCCUUGAAGCCACUGGACAAUGAAAGUGCAGAUUGCUAAACUUCAACUGGUUUAUAAAAUCACAUGGUAGAUAACAAUUAAGAUGGUCUUUUCCGUUGCUUAGAUAAGCUCUGCUGGUAUGGAUUAAUAAACUUGAUCUCAGCAUUCCAAUGAGGGAGUGGCUUUAUUAAACCACCAAGUUUGACUCUAGCAACAUAAUUCUUUACAACAGAGUUAAUGUAGGAAAAUCUGAUUCUUACUUAAAGGGAUAGUGAAUUUAUCAAAAUUUUGCUCUAAUCUAAAUUCUAAUUUGCUUAAUACAUAGUCUUCAAUAAACCUAAUCAUAUGGACAUUUUCAAAUUAUAGGUGCUAAUUACAGAAGCCAUUUCUGCCAAUUCUGGGGGCUAAGAAAGUCGUGAUUGAAAGGACAAUCCUGAUGAGAGAGCAUAAGUAAUGCCUUCAUUUAACACAUGGCAAAGAAACAACCCAGAGAAGUUAGACGUAACUUGCACAUUGCCCUGGGGAAAGAAAGAUGCUACGCAACUAGAAUAACAAAGGUAGCAUAGUCUUGAUUCUUAAGCAAAAUAUGCUGGUUUAGAAGGAAGACAGAAAAAAAUCAGAAGCAUCCUUAUAGAACUAGUUUCUCUUAUGGUCAAAUCUGGGAAACGGGGAUAUGAUGGAACCCUUUCUGAGGGUGCAUUUUGGAAAAUAGAGUGAAACUUAUAACCACGGUUUGAACUAGGCAAUGACAAUUCUCAGGGAAAUGAUCCCUUCUCCCAUGCCACCCUGAU
rnacentral:lncRNA from 1 species